UGUUGUGUUCUAAAAUUCUUAUUUUUAGACAUUUUCUUGGGUCCCACAAUGGUAAGGAGUUGGAUAAGUUUACUCUUGAUUUGUUUGAUGAGUAGAAUAUUAAAGAUAAAGUGCUUUCUUUGACUUGUGAUAAUGCUACUAUCAAUGAUGUUAUGAUUCAACAUAUGGUUAGGGACUUGAAUAAAACUAAUUUGUUUUCUUGUUCUGGUAAGUUUUUUCAUAUUAGAUGUUCUGCCCAUAUAUUGAAUCUGAUUGUCCAAGCUGGUUUUAAGUUUAUAUACGGAUAAAACUAUUUUGAAGUUGCAACAAGUUGUUUCAUAUGUUUCUUAUUCAAACACUAGGAAAGACAGGUUUGAUGAUUGUGUUAAGUAUGUAAAUACUAGUUUUUCUGGUUCAUUGAUUGGUGAUGUUCGUACUCGUUGGAAUUCUACUUUUCUUAUGCUCCGUAGGUGUUUGGAAGCUAGGGAGGCUGUAGAUAGGUAUUGUUUACUUGGGCAUGGUUUUGAUGUUUCUCUAACUAAUUCUGAAUGAGAAACUGUCCAAAAUAUUUGUGAUUUUCUUGAAGCUUUUUAUGAUAUCACUUGUCUUUUUUCUGGUUCUGAUUAUCCCACUGCCAACCUAUAUGUUGAGAACAUUAUUUUGAUUGAAAAUCUUCUGCUUUAUGCUAAAGAAAACCCUAGUGAUUCUAUUCGUCUUAUGACUACUCCAAUGUAUACAAAUUUUAAUACUAAAAAAUAAUUACAGAAAUUCAUAAUGUAAGUCAUUCAUUAACAAGGGUAAUAUUCCAAAUGCUUCAAUUAGAAAAGAGUUGAUAACGUGUAUAACAACCUUCCAUUUAUUCAUUAGAAUGUAUUGCUCAUUAUUGUUUAUGGAAAAAACCCUUAACAAUCAUAGACUUAUAAAUCCUUUGCCAAUAUUUGGGCUGUUCAGCUUCCCUACUAAAACAUGGGCUUACAACAUGAUAAAUAAGGCUGAUCCAAAUUUAUGGAUUUUCUAACCAUGUGACACAAAUGAGCUACUAAUAUGAUACUUCAAUUAUACUUUUAGACAUAUAGACUUCUAGCCACAUAUCCCAAACCCAUAAAAACAACAAAAUCGUUGACAUUUUUUAAUAAAAAGUGAGAAAAAGAAUUGGUAUUCCAUUUCCCAAUCACAAAUCGAUACUCAAGAUCAAACUCCCAUUUCUAUAAUACUAACAUUAAUUAUUAUAGUCCAUUUCACCCAAAAAAAUACAACUAAAAAUAAAAUAUUACUUUUCCCUUACUUGUACAACUUAAUAUGUGGACCGUGCAAUCACGCCUUCUCUCAGAAAUAAACUACUACAAAUUGCUAUCAACUCUAAGCUCAGCUGAUAAGCCACCAUUUGGCAAAUAAUGUGGGACCCAUUUCCAAUCUGGCAGGAGAAAUGUUCAUAACAUAAGUUUUAGUGCUCAACAAGUAACAUUAUCAUAUUAAUAAUAACAUUUGCUUUGAAUCUUACUUUUUAAUUUAAACACUUGUGAUUCGCUUAUUUUUUCUCUCUUUCUCUCUAUCUUUUCUUUUAUCUCUUUCCAAAUCUUUUUUUUUGUUUCUGUGCGUGGCCUGUUCUGCUAUUCUGCUCUCUGCAUUUGCAAAAUUGUUUUUUGCGGAAGCAGAACUGCAAAGACAGGCCCUAACUGUCGAUAAUAGUAGCCAGUCAAGCAAUCAAUCACUUGCAUAUUCGCCUUUUUUAUCAGCCUAAAAUGGCCGAGUUAUCUUCAGGUAACGAUGAUAAAAGUGUUGGAAAGUCAGAUAGCUUCAAGUUAUUGGGACGUAGCCCAGCACGUACCUCGUCAAAAAAGAAUUUAAAUCCUUUCAGAGUGUUCUCCCGCAAGAAAUCAAGUAUUUUGAUUUUGUCUCCUUUUCUCAUAGUGAUUUUAUUUUGCCAUUUGCAUCUUUCUUAACUUCCUCAACAUCCCCUCAAAAAAAAAAAAAAAAACUUCCUCAACAUGCAAUACGAAUUGAUAGUGGCUGAGUGGGUGAA